GGUUGUGUGUGUGUGUGUGUGUGUGUGUGUGUGUGUGUGUGUGUGUGUGGUUAAAUUAUCAGUAAUGAGUGACUGAGCUCUAAAAGAACAGGAAGUACAUCAUGAUCAGAAAGAAAGAUAAAUGAAGCAAGAAGAUUAAAUGGAAAAAGAACGAAUAAAUAAAAGUGGAAAGUGAGAGUGUGUGAUUAUAGUGAGAGUGGUGAUUAUAGUGAGAGUGUGUGUGUGAUUAUAGUGAGAGUGUUAGUGAUUAUAGUGAGAGUGUGUGUGAUUAUAGUGAGAGUGUGUGUUGUGAUUAUAAGUGUGUGUGUGAUUAUAGUGAGAGUGUGUGUGUGAUUAUAGUGAGAGUGU
ensembl:lncRNA